GAAGGAUGGACAGCAUUGUUUUGGGCUGCUUUCAACAAUCACUCAAAUGCCGUUCGUCUCCUGUUAGAGCAUGGAUCUGAUAUCAGUGUACUAGACAACAAAGGAAGAACGGCACUGCAAUUGUGUGUGAAACGUGACAACAAAGAUGCUACAGAUGCCAUUACAUCAUUUGUGCAGAGAAGAAAGUCCGUAAUUCAUUUGGCUGAAAAAAUUAAGGAAAAAGAUCCUGCGGAUGUCAUAAAGCUGCUUGAGGUAAUGUGUG